UGCUGGCUUCGGCAGUACAUAUACUAAAAUUGGAAUCAUACAGAGAAGAUUAACAUGGCCCCUGAGCAAGGAUGACAUGCAAGUUCGAAAAACAUUCCAUAUUUUU